AGCGAACGCUGGCGGCAGGCCUAACACAUGCAAGUCGAACGAACUCUUCGGAGUUAGUGGCGGACGGGUGAGUAACACGUGGGAACGUGCCUUUUGGUUCGGAAUAACUCAGGGAAACUUGUGCUAAUACCGAAUGUGCCCUUCGGGGGAAGGAUUUAUCGCCAUUAGAGCGGCCCGCGUCUGAUUAGCUAGUUGGUGAGGUAACGGCUCACCAAGGCGACGAUCAGUAGCUGGUCUGAGAGGAUGACCAGCCACACUGGGACUGAGACACGGCCCAGACUCCUACGGGAGGCAGCAGUGGGGAAUCUUGCGCAAUGGGCGAAAGCCUGACGCAGCCAUGCCGCGUGAAUGAUGAAGGUCUUAGGAUUGUAAAAUUCUUUCACCGGGGACGAUAAUGACGGUACCCGGAGAAGAAGCCCCGGCUAACUUCGUG
rnacentral:rRNA from 1 species